UUCAGCAGGGUUUUCCUUUGUGCUUGAUCUAACCAUGUGGUUGCCAGGUACGAGUAAAACAUGGUUCUGUCAAGCACCAUGGGACACCUUGCAGCA
rnacentral:pre_miRNA from 14 species